rnacentral:rRNA from 1 species
AGCGAACGCUGGCGGCAGGCCUAACACAUGCAAGUCGAACGGACCCUUCGGGGUUAGUGGCGGACGGGUGAGUAACACGAGGGAACGUGCCUUUAGGUUCGGAAUAGCUCCUGGAAACGGGUGGUAAUGCCGAAUGUGCCCUUAGGGGGAAAGAUUUAUCGCCUUUAGAGCGGCCCGCGUCUGAUUAGCUAGUUGGUGAGGUAAUAGCUCACCAAGGCUACGAUCAGUAGCUGGUCUGAGAGGAUGACCAGCCACAUUGGGACUGAGACACGGCCCAAACUCCUACGGGGGGCAGCAGUGGGGAAUCUUGCGCAAUGGGCGAAAGCCUGACGCAGCCAUGCCGCGUGGAUGAUGAAGGUCUUAGGAUUGUAAAAUCCUUUCACCGGUGAAGAUAAUGACUGUAGCCGGAGAAGAAGCCCCGGCUAACUUCGUGCCAGCAGCCGCAGUAAUAC